GAUGAACGCUGGCGGCGUGCCUAAUACAUGCAAGUCGAACGCAUAGCGAAAGGUGCUUGCACCUUUCAAGUGAGUGGCGAACGGGUGAGUAACACGUGGACAACCUGCCUCAAGGCUGGGGAUAACAUUUGGAAACAGAUGCUAAUACCGAAUAAAACUUAGUGUCGCAUGACACAAAGUUAAAAGGCGCUUCGGCGUCACCUAGAGAUGGAUCCGCGGUGCAUUAGUUAGUUGGGGGGGUAAAGGCCUACCAAGACAAUGAUGCAUAGCCGAGUUGAGAGACGGUUCGGCCCAAUUGGGACUGAGACACGGCCCAAACUCCUACGGGAGGCUGCAGUAGGGAAUCUUCCACAAUGGGCGAAAGCCUGAUGGAGCAACGCCGCGUGUGUGAUGAAGGCUUUCGGGUCGUAAAGCACUGUUGUAUGGGAAGAACAGCUAGAAUAGGAAAUGAUUUUAGUUUGACGGUACCAUACCAGAAAGGGACGGCUAAAUACGU
rnacentral:rRNA from 1 species